UACGUAGGGGGCGAGCGUUAUCCGGAAUUAUUGGGCGUAAAGAGUACGUAGGUGGUUUUGUAAGCGCAAGGUGAAAGCCCGGGGCUUAACUCCGGCGAGCCUUGUGAACUGCAAGACUUGAGUGCAGGAGGGGAAAGUGGAAUUCCUAGUGUAGCGGUGAAAUGCGUAGAUAUUAGGAGGAACACCGGUGGCGAAGGCGACUUUCUGGACUGUAACUGACACUGAGGUACGAAAGUGUGGGGAGCAAACA
rnacentral:rRNA from 1 species